rnacentral:rRNA from 1 species
CCUGAACCAGCCAUGCCGCGUGCAGGAAGAAGGCCUUCUGGGUUGUAAACUGCUUUUGCCGGGGGAUAAAAUUCCCAUGCGUGGGACAUUGAAGGUACCCGGUGAAUAAGCCACGGCUAACUACGUGCCAGCAGCCGCGGUAAUACGUAGGUGGCAAGCGUUGUCCGGAUUUAUUGGGUUUAAAGGGUGCGUAGGCGGCCUAUUAAGUCAGUUCUGAAAUAUCCCGGCUUAACCGGGAGGGUGGGAUUGAUACUGAUGGGCUUGAGUGGAGUCGAGGUAGGCGGAAUUGACGGUGUAGCGGUGAAAUGCUUAGAUAUCGUCAAGAACACCGAUAGUGUAGACAGCUUACUAGACUUCAACUGACGCUGAGGCACGAAAGUGUGGGGAUCAAACAGGAUUAGAUACCCUGGUAGUCCACACUGUAAACGUUGAUUACUCGCUGUGUGCGAUAUACAGUACGCGGCUUAGCGAAAGCGAUAAGUAAUCCACCUGGGGAGUACGCCGGCAACGGGUGAAACUCAAGGAAUU